ACAUGGACACACGAAAGUACCGAGAAGGCACGCAGCUGAAGAUCUGGUAGGGGAUGCAUGCGGCACCAGCAUGGUCGUGGCACCCGAGUGGGAAGUGCAACAAACGCCAACAUCUUGUUACUUUUAACGCCUAACUUCCUGCAGCGCUGGAGCAGCCAGCGGCCGCCGGGAAGCCGAGCUCGGCUGCAGCCCUGCGUCGCCGCGCCACGACCCGACCAUCCUCUGAGACGCCCGGGACGGGAGCGCCCACCCCCAACCAGGCGCGGACAGACCUCCCGAGCGCAGCCCGGCGGGAACCCGUCAGCGCGGGAACCGGCCUCGAACUCCAGGCGUGGACAGCCGCGAGAAACUGACCUACGCGGUCACCCGGGCUCCCAGAGCUCCCGAGGCGGUGGCCACGACCCCAGGCUUCCCGUCCGCCCGCCCCACGUCGAGGAAGUGGUCGUCACCAACUCUGGCUGGCACUCCCCGAGGACGCUCGAGCCCGCGUAACGUCUGUCUCCGGGACCCGGCGCCGGGACCACGGCGGAGCGCGAGGUGGCGCCGCCCCUCCCCGCAGCCCGCCCCUGGAACGCGCAUCCUCCUGGCGAGCUGGCAUCCCUCCCGACACGUGACCGCAGCGGGGACACGCCCGUUCCCCGCCCACUCCCCGCCCCUGCCUGGCCUGCCCACGCCCCCGGCCCGCUCCUGUCCCGCCUGGGCCACCGGCGCUGGUUCCAGGUUUUGCCAGCUACUAGGGACGCGUAAAGCCUUCGCGCUCCUCCCACCACACCCCGAGGGAAGAAGUGGCAGGCCUUACCCGGAGACUACAAGGAACCGCCCGUGUGAGCCAGUGGAAGACUCGCGUCCCCAGGCAAAAUAUAAGUCCUGGGUUAAUAGUCUGAAGUCUGUCAUUAAGCAAUAGGUUAUCCAGCUGCCCAGAUUUUUUUCUUUUUUGCUUUGGCUGCAACUCGACCCGUGGGAACUUAAUUGGCAAUGUAAAUUAGACAAUUUACAAAAAAACACCUCCUUUUACUUUCACCUGUGAAAGGAAGCGCUUAAAAUGCCAUACAGGUGUAACCAUUAUAGAAUAGAUAUGCGUGAGACAAGGAUUUACAAAAUUUCCUCACCUCCUCUCCUCCAGAUUCCAUGCACAAGGCGUCUAGCUAGAGGAGUUAGCAAAUAGUCUAUAACGUGAAGGUUCAAACUCUAGUAUAAUUCCACCGUUUUUGUUUUUUUCUUUUUUUGAGGCAAGGUCUCACUCUGUCUCCCAAGCUGGAGUGUAGUGGCGCGAUCUCGGCUCACUGCAGCAUCGUCUUCUGGGUUCAAGCGAUCCUCCGGCCUCAGCUGGACUACAGGCGGGUAAUCAAGGGACUGGGACUACAGGCGCGCCCUGCCGCGCCCGGACAAGUUUUGUAUUUUUAGUAGAGACAGACUCUCCCUAUGUUGCCCAGGCUGGUCUCCAACUCCUGGGCCUCCCAAAGUGUUGGGAUUACAGGCGUGAGUCACCCCUGCAGGCCACAGCUUUGCUUUUUAAAAGCAUUUCUGCAUAACUAAAAAGACAGGAAAUUACGAGCAUACGAAAACUGAUUUCUGCUUUCCUGAAUUUUCUAAAUGUAUUUAAUGAACAUGUUCUUUUGCAAUGAAAAAGUAAUAAAUAGGUAUCAUUUUUAAAAGGACUGUAGUUUUUCCAUCAAGUCUAGAAGCAUGUAUUGAGAACCUAUAAUAGGCCCUUUUGGUCAUUGUGAUAUGUGUGAAACAGCAUAUGGCAGAUCUUUUGAAAUGAUGUUUUUGGAUACCACAAGCAAUCCUGCUGGUGUAUCUCAGGCUGGCAUCAUCUUUUAUUAACAAAGCAGGCACUUUACUAGCACAAUACUUCAACUGCAAAAUGUGUGGUAACUAAAGCAGCUGUAUUUGUCUGGAAAAGAAGAAACCUCAGGGCUUACUAUCUAAGGAUAUUGAACCAUCUUUUUUUUUUUUUUUGAGAUGGAGUUUUACUCUUGUGCAGUGGUGCAAUCUCAGCUCACUGCAACCUCUGCCUCCGAGGUUCAAGCGAUUCUCCUGCCUCAGCCUCCUAAGUAGCUGGGACUAUAGGUAUGACACACAGAUGUCUAAGCAACUGCCUUCCAGCAGUGAUUGAUUUUGCUGGUUCCCCACACAAAAAGUUUGGAAGAGACCCUUAUGUCUUCUGUAGAGUUUCUUGGUUGUAAGCAGCAAGCACUGGUGCUGGCUAACUUAAGCAAAUAAAGAAUAUAUCACUCAGACAUCAAAGAAACAGCUGGAAAUCUGGCUUGGCAAAGGCCGGAUUAGGGCACUCCUGGGGAUGUGGGUAGUAGGAAUAGUCUAUAGUUUUUCCUCAGUGCCAACACUGGGAAAGAAUAUGUUCCAAUUAUUUUCAUUUUCCUAUCCUUUUGUCUUUCUUCAGAAGAAGCAAAGUUGAGAGAUAGUCUUUCAUAGCUUUUCCCAUAAGGUAUGUUCUCCUUGGGCAACAUUUUCAACUCAACCUUUAGCCCUUAGCUUGCUUUUUCUUUUUUUUUUUCUUUAUUUUUUUUAUUUUUGAGACGAGGGUCUUGCUCUGUCACCCAGGCUAGAGUACAGUGGCAUGAUCAUGGCUCACUGCAGCCUCAACCUCUCAGGCUCAAGCAGUUCUCCCACCUCAGCCUCCCAAGUAGCUGGGACUACUGGCGCGAGCCACCAUGCCCAGCUAACUUUUGUUUAUUUUUUAUAGAGACAGGGUCACACUAUGUUGCCCAGGGUGGUCUCAAACUCUGGUUUGAGCAAUCUGCCCACCUUGGCCUCCCAAAGUGCUGGGAUUACAGGCAUGAACCACCUCACCUGGCCUUUCUUUAUUCAUCAUGAAUAUACCCUGCUUAGCCUGGUCAACAUGGAGAAACUCUGUCUCUACAAAACAAAAAUUAGCCAGGCAUGGUGGUGUGGCCUGUAGUCCCAGCUACUGAGGAGGCUGAGGUGGGAGGAUCACUUGAACCUGGCAGGUGGAGGCUGCAGUGAACUGAGAUCACAUCACUGCACUUCAGCCUGGGAGACAGAGACCCUGCCUCAAAAAACAAACAAACAAACAAACAAAAAAGAAUAUAUUCCGCUUUUCUAUCCCUAAUUGUCUGCUCAAGCAGUGUGCCUGACAGUCACAUGACCCCUUCUAGGAAGCCUUGGAAAGUCUGCCCUGCCUAUUGCCCCUUUUUGAGGACUUCAUUAUGCAACCUACAAUUCUUGGCUCAGCUGAAGGAGCAAGAGCAGGGCCUCCUAAAUGGCACCUUUCUAUUAGGCUUACCAAAGGCCUGGUAUAUGUGCUUUGCCCAACAGGAAAUCUCUAUACUGAGUAGCAUUGAACCAUCUAGAUUUCUCUCUUGGGUAGGUUUAACCGUGACGCAUGCAAAGGACAGUCCUUAGUCAAGGUAGAUGCAGAAAGGCUCACAGAGGGAAGUGAGAGCAGAGAGUAAGCAGAAGCCAUGGGACAGCCUAAAGGAGAAUACAGAAAAGAUGACCAGGAGCGGCAGAAGCAAGAGCAGAGAGAGAAUGAUUGAGACCCCAGAGUGCGGAAACACUAGGGUAGGGAGCAAAGGAUGGCGCCCCCUGCUGAGAGGUCCAGAAUGGUGGGCUGCAGUUAAAUCUUCAACAACCUUCUGCAGCAGCGUGAUGUCUCUGCUUUUAUGUCUCUGUAUUGUUGCAAUAAAUUCUUACUCUUUAUCUGA